AGUGAACGCUGGCGGUAGGCCUAACACAUGCAAGUCGAACGGCAGCACAGUAAGAGCGUGCUCUUCCGGGUGGCGAGUGGCGGACGGGUGAGGAAUACAACGGAAUCUACUUUUUCGUGGGGGUUCACGUAGGGAAGCUUACUCUAAUACCGCAUACGCCCUACGGGUGAAAGCAGGGGAUCUUCGCACCUUGCGCGGUUGAAUGCGCCGAUGUCGGAUUAGCUAGUCGGCGGGGUAAAGGCCCACCAAGGGGACGAUCCGUAGCUGGUCUGGGAGGCUGGUAGGCCGCACUGGAACUGAGACAGGGUCCAUAGUACUGCGGGAGGCAGCAGUGGGGAAUAUUAGGCAAUGGGCGCAAGCAUGGUCCAGCCAUCCCGCGUGUGUGAAGAAGGCGCUCGGGGUGUAAAGCCCUUUUGUUGGGAAAGAACAGCAGCAGGUUAAGACCCCGCUGGAGUGACGGUACCGAAAGAAUAAGCACCGGCUAACUUCGUG
rnacentral:rRNA from 1 species